CCUACGGGGGGCAGCAGUGAGGAAUAUUGGUCAAUGGGCGGAAGCCUGAACCAGCCAAGUCGCGUGAGGGAUUAAGGCCCUAUGGGUCGUAAACCUCUUUUGUCAGGGAGCAAUGGCGUCCACGUGUGGGCGUAUGGAGAGUACCUAAGGAAAAGCAUCGGGUAAAUCCGUGCCAGCCGCCGCGGUAAUACGGAGGGUGCGGACGUUCUCCGGAUUUAUUGGGUUUAAAGGGUGCGUAGGCGGGACCUUAAGUCAGCGGUAAAAUUGCGGUGCUAAACGCCGUAGAGCCGUUGAAACUGGGGUUCUUGAGUAAGCGAGAAGUAUGCGGAAUGCGUGGUGUAGCGGUGAAAUGCAUAGAUAUCACGCAGAACACCGGUGGCGAAGGCGGCCUGCUGGACUGCAACUGACGUUGAGGCCCGAAAGCGUGGGGAGCAAACAGGAUUAGAUACCCGAGUAGUC
rnacentral:rRNA from 1 species